GACAGGGGAUGCAAGCGUUACUCGGAAUUACUGGGCGUAAAGCGUCUGUAGGCUUUCCGGAAAGUCUGAGGUCAAAUGUCGGGGCUUAACCCCGUCAACGUCUUGGAAACUCCCGGAAUUGAGCAAUGGAGAGGCAUCUGGAAUGCCAUGUGUAGGAGUAAAAUCCGUUGAUAUAUGGUAGAACGCCGAAAGUGAAGACAGGAUGCUAGCCAUUCGCUGACGCUGAGAGACGAAAGCGUGGGGAG
rnacentral:rRNA from 1 species